GACGAACGCUGGCGGCGUGCCUAAUACAUGCAAGUCGAACGCAGUUGCGAACGGGUGAGUAAAACGUAGGUAACUGCCUCAUAGCGGGGGAUAACUAUUGGAGACGCGAGCUAAUACCGCAUAAUGUGAGAUGGACCUGCGUUGUAUUAGCUAGUUGGUGAGGUAAAGGCUAACCAAGGCGACGAUCCAUAGCCGACCUGAGAGGGUGAUCGGCCACACUGGGACUGGGACACGGCCCAGACUCCUACGGGAGGCAGCAGUAGGGAAUCUUCGGCAAUGGACGGAAGUCUGACCGAGCAACGCCGCGUGAGUGAAGACGGUUUUCGGAUCGUAAAGCUCUGUUGUUAGAGACGCGGUACCUAACCAGAAAGGGACGGCUAACUACGUGCCAGCAGCCGCGGUAAUAC
rnacentral:rRNA from 1 species